rnacentral:rRNA from 1 species
UACGGAGGGGGCAAGCGUUAUCCGGAUUCACUGGGCUUAAAGGGUGCGUAGGCGGACAGGUAAGUCAGUGGUGAAAUCUCUGGGCUUAACUCAGAAACUGCCGUUGAUACUAUUUGUCUUGAAUAUCAUGGAGGUAAGCGGAAUAUCUCAUGUAGCGGUGAAAUGCUUAGAUAUGACAUAGAACACCGAUAGCGAAGGCAGCUUACUACAUGGAGAUUGACGCUGAGGCACGAAAGCGUGGGGAGCAAACAGG